rnacentral:rRNA from 1 species
CAGGGAUUGCCCUAGUAACGGCGAGUGAAGCGGCAACAGCUCAAAUUUGAAAUCUGGCUCUUUCAGAGUCCGAGUUGUAAUUUGCAGAGGGCGCUUUGGCUUUGGCAGCGGUCCAAGUUCCUUGGAACAGGACGUCACAGAGGGUGAGAAUCCCGUACGUGGUCGCUAGCUAUUGCCGUGUAAAGCCCCUUCGACGAGUCGAGUUGUUUGGGAAUGCAGCUCUAAAUGGGAGGUAAAUUUCUUCUAAAGCUAAAUAUUGGCCAGAGACCGAUAGCGCACAAGUAGAGUGAUCGAAAGAUGAAAAGCACUUUGGAAAGAGAGUCAAACAGCACGUGAAAUUGUUGAAAGGGAAGCGCUUGCAGCCAGACUUGCUUGCAGUUGCUCAUCCGGGCUUUUGCCCGGUGCACUCUUCUGUAGGCAGGCCAGCAUCAGUUUGGGCGGUGGGAUAAAGGUCUCUGUCACGUACCUCUCUUCGGGGAGGCCUUAUAGGGGAGACGACAUACCACCAGUCUAGACUGAGGUCCGCGCAUCUGCUAGGAUGCUGGCGUAAUGGCUGUAAGCGGCCCGUCUUGAAACACGGACCAAGGAGUCUAACAUCUAUGCGAGUGUUUGGGUGUCAAGCCCGAGCGCGUAAUGAAAGUGAACGGAGGUGGGAACCCGCAAGGGUGCACCAUCGACCGAUCCUGAAGUUUACGGAAGGAUUUGAGUAAGAGCAUGGCUGUUGGGACCCGAAAGAUGGUGAACUAUGCUUGAAUAGGGUGAAGCCAGAGGAAACUCUGGUGGAGGCUCGCAGCGGUUCUGACGUGCAAAUCGAUCGUCAAAUUUGGGCAUAGGGGCGAAAGACUAAUCGAACUA